GUUAAAACUUAAGGACCAGUGGUUCAACAAGAUCUAGAGUUAAGAGUAGAUUAAGAGUUUCGAUCGUGAUGAUGAAACAUAUGAAGUGAAGUAACGUCUCAUCAUCACUGAAAAUGUAGUUCCCUUAAGUGCUCCCCCUUCAGGGUGAGUGUAGAACUCAUACUUACCUGGCAGGGGAGAUACCAUGAUCAAGAAGGUGGUUCACCCAGGGCGAGGCUCAGCCAUUGCACUCCGGUUGUGCUGACCCCUGCGAAUUCCCCAAAUGUGGGAAUCUCGACUGCAUAAUUUCUGGUAGUGGGGGACUGCGUUCGCGCUCUCCCCUGAUUUUCUGGUUAAAAAUAGAGCUCUUAUGUACACUGUUUAUAAUGAAUUAUUACUAUUAUAAAAGGACCACCAAUUUAGUCAUGAGUGAAUCUAAACGAGAGGCCAAAACUUUGGCAAAUAGUUUCACAUCAUAGUUUAGAAGAGACAAAGGUCUAUAAUUUCCGCACUGAGUCAAAUCUUUAUUAGGCUUAAGGAAACAAAGUAAUGUCUUUGGCCACGUCUUUGGACGUGGAUGAUUUAGAACUUUCGCAGUAGCUCUUUUUUCGGUACUUUUUGUGUGCUUGAGUGGGUUGGCCACACAUUGCACAGAUGUACACUUUUACAGGGGCUGGAUGUCCCAUGCCACUGCGCUCUGCUUUCUUUCUCUUGUAGAACAGAGAUCUUGAUGGUGGAGGAAUGGAUGCCUGCGGCAGGGAAAUGGCGGGAGGUCCUGUUAGGGGCGCACCCAUCAGCUGAGUUGGCGUGGACGUGCGCAUGGUCUGGACUGGUGCAGGAUUGGAAUGCCGAGUUUGCUGAGUUCAGCGUCAUCCACAGUCACCCUCUGCUGCACACGCUGGUACAUUUUGGUGAUGUGAUGCUUCAGUGGCGACCCUUGAGCCUUUCCUCCAGAACCAGGAUGAAGCCACAGCUGUUUAAUAAGGCAGUACAUCAGACGGUUCUUUCUGGAGUCAACCAAGUGGGCGGCCGAGUAACGCUUGCUGAACUUCAGCUUUUGCACCAAAGAUGCCUCAGACGGAUCUCCACUUGUUCGGCCGAACAGAGCAUUGCCCCAGCGUGCCGAGUAAAGGCUGUCAAACUGCUGGAUGCUGCGAUCGUGGAGGUCAAGGUUGUUCCAGGCACUGAUGACCCUCUGUCUGAUCGAGUCACUCAUCGCAAGCUUUCCCUCCUCCAAGGCGAUCUCAACAAGGACUUUGCACAGAUCCUCUACGUGUUGGUACCCAGGGAGAUGAUUCGGACCACACACAUCCUCCACACAGGGAUCAAACUCUGCAGCCGCUACCUGGUCAGUGAGGCACAGACUGUUUCUCAGAGGAGUCAGACGUUCACCCUCACUGUCGGAGUUGUAUCCCACAUCCUCCUCCUCUUCCUCCUCUGCCGUGGCAACAGAGACCUCAUCAUCUUCAUCCUCAUCCACUCGAAGUGUCUCUCUGGUCUGAGCGUAAUGGUCGGGAGCACUGAAAGGCUCUGAUGACUGAGAGAACAGAUACUCCAAACCGAUCCGCUCAUCCCCAGCAGGAACUGGAGGCCUGUAGUUUGCCUCCUCCACCUCCCCAAACAGUUCCUGACACCUCUGAUUCAGCCGAUGUACCAGAGGGGAGAUGUACACCAUGUGCUUUCUCCCUUUUUGGCCUUUGACGCUCGCUGACUCCCUGUCAGAGUUCCAGCGUGCAAUGCCAGCCAGGAGAUACACCUGGAAGGGGACAGCAGCACAGUGGGGCCCAGGGAUCAUGUUGGGCAGAAAAGAAUGAAAGCCUUCCAGGCUGUUGCUCCCUCUCACUGUGCUGUAUCAUGGAAGACGCACACCGUUACGGGUCACAUACUUUGUGAUGGUGUACAUGUUUCUCCCCGGCGGAUCCUGGAUGCAUUCGAGGUGCUUCUGUUGGUUCUCCCAAACGUGGUCGAUGGCCGCAGCGUCCUUGAACAGAUGCACCUGGUUCUCAUCCAUCCCAGCUGCUCCCUUCAAGAUGUCAAUGGCACUCUGGACACGUGCACAGGUUUCCUGGGCACCAACCGUGAUCCUCCUGACAUGAUGGCUGAGGUCUGACUUGCUGACAUGCAGUUCGAU
ensembl:lncRNA